rnacentral:rRNA from 1 species
GAUGAACGCUGGCGGCGUGCCUAAUACAUGCAAGUCGAGCGAACGGACGAGAAGCUUGCUUCUCUGAUGUUAGCGGCGGACGGGUGAGUAACACGUGGAUAACCUACCUAUAAGACUGGGAUAACUUCGGGAAACCGGAGCUAAUACCGGAUAAUAUUUUGAACCGCGUGGUUCAAAAGUGAAAGACGGUCUUGCUGUCACUUAUAGAUGGAUCCGCGCUGCAUUAGCUAGUUGGUAAGGUAACGGCUUACCAAGGCAACGAUGCAUAGCCGACCUGAGAGGGUGAUCGGCCACACUGGAACUGAGACACGGUCCAGACUCCUACGGGAGGCAGCAGUAGGGAAUCUUCCGCAAUGGGCGAAAGCCUGACGGAGCAACGCCGCGUGAGUGAUGAAGGUCUUCGGAUCGUAAAACUCUGUUAUUAGGGAAGAACAUAUGUGUAAGUAACUGUGCACAUCUUGACGGUACCUAAUCAGAAAGCCACGGCUAACUACGUGCCAGCAGCCGCGGUAAUACGUAGGUGGAAAGCGUUAUCCGGAAUUAUUGGGCGUAAAGCGCGCGUAGGCGGUUUUUUAAGUCUGAUGUGAAAGCCCACGGCUCAACCGUGGAGGGUCAUUGGAAACUGGAAAACUUGAGUGCAGAAGAGGAAAGUGGAAUUCCAUGUGUAGCGGUGAAAUGCGCAGAGAUAUGGAGGAACACCAGUGGCGAAGGCGACUUUCUGGUCUGUAACUGACGCUGAUGUGCGAAAGCGUGGGGAUCAAACAGGAUUAGAUACCCUGGUAGUCCACGCCGUAAACGAUGAGUGCUAAGUGUUAGGGGGUUUCCGCCCCUUAGUGCUGCAGCUAACGCAUUAAGCACUCCGCCUGGGGAGUACGACCGCAAGGUUGAAACUCAAAGGAAUUGACGGGGACCCGCACAAGCGGUGGAGCAUGUGGUUUAAUUCGAAGCAACGCGAAGAACCUUACCAAAUCUUGACAUCCUUUGACAACUCUAGAGAUAGAGCCUUCCCCUUCGGGGGACAAAGUGACAGGUGGUGCAUGGUUGUCGUCAGCUCGUGUCGUGAGAUGUUGGGUUAAGUCCCGCAACGAGCGCAACCCUUAAGCUUAGUUGCCAUCAUUAAGUUGGGCACUCUAAGUUGACUGCCGGUGACAAACCGGAGGAAGGUGGGGAUGACGUCAAAUCAUCAUGCCCCUUAUGAUUUGGGCUACACACGUGCUACAAUGGACAAUACAAAGGGCAGCGAAACCGCGAGGUCAAGCAAAUCCCAUAAAGUUGUUCUCAGUUCGGAUUGUAGUCUGCAACUCGACUACAUGAAGCUGGAAUCGCUAGUAAUCGUAGAUCAGCAUGCUACGGUGAAUACGUUCCCGGGUCU